rnacentral:rRNA from 1 species
UGGGGAAUUUUGGACAAUGGGCGAAAGCCUGAUCCAGCAAUGCCGCGUGUGUGAAGAAGGCCUUCGGGUUGUAAAGCACUUUUGUCCGGAAAGAAAUCCUUGGCUCUAAUACAGUCGGGGGAUGACGGUACCGGAAGAAUAAGCACCGGCUAACUACGUGCCAGCAGCCGCGGUAAUACGUAGGGUGCAAGCGUUAAUCGGAAUUACUGGGCGUAAAGCGUGCGCAGGCGGUUUGCUAAGACCGAUGUGAAAUCCCCGGGCUCAACCUGGGAACUGCAUUGGUGACUGGCAGGCUAGAGUAUGGCAGAGGGGGGUAGAAUUCCACGUGUAGCAGUGAAUGCGUAGAGAUGUGGAGGAAUACCGAUGGCGAAGGCAGCCCCCCUGGGCCAAUACUGACGCUCAUGCACGAAAGCGUGGGGAGCAAACAGGAUUAGAUACCCUGGUAGUCCACGCCCUAAACGAUGUCAACUAGUUGUUGGGGAUUCAUUUCCUUAGUAACGUAGCUAACGCGUGAAGUUGACCGCCUGGGGAGUACGGUCGCAAGAUUAAAACUCAAAGGAAUUGACGGGGU